rnacentral:rRNA from 1 species
UACGGGGGGUGCAAGCGUUGCUCGGAAUCACUGGGCGUAAAGCGUCCGCAGGCGGACGCGCAGGUCGGGUGUGAAAUCCCGGGGCUCAACCCCGGAACUGCAUUCGAAACCGCGCGUCUCGAGUACGGGAGAGGGUGGCGGAAUUCCUGGUGUAGAAGUGAAAUUCGUAGAUAUCAGGAGGAACACCGGUGGCGAAAGCGGCCACCUGGCCCGAUACUGACGCUCAUGGACGAAAGCGUGGGGAGCAAACAGG